GCCUGGGUGGCUCAGUCGGUUAAGCGUCUGACUUCAGCUCAGGUCAUGAUCUCAUGGUUCGUGGGUUCGAGCCCCACAUCGGGCU
rnacentral:tRNA from 1 species